rnacentral:rRNA from 1 species
AACGAACGCUGGCGGCAUGCCUAACACAUGCAAGUCGAACGAGACCUUCGGAUCUAGUGGCGCACGGGUGCGUAACGCGUGGGAACCUGCCCUUAGGUUCGGAAUAACUCCCCGAAAGGGGUGCUAAUACCGGAUAAUGUCUUCGGACCAAAGAUUUAUCGCCUUUGGAUGGGCCCGCGUUGGAUUAGCUAGUUGGUAGGGUAAAAGCCUACCAAGGCGACGAUCCAUAGCUGGUCUGAGAGGAUGAUCAGCCACACUGGGACUGAGACACGGCCCAGACUCCUACGGGAGGCAGCAGUGGGGAAUAUUGGACAAUGGGCGAAAGCCUGAUCCAGCAAUGCCGCGUGAGUGAUGAAGGCCUUAGGGUUGUAAAGCUCUUUUACCCGGGAUGAUAAUGACAGUACCGGGAGAAUAAGCCCCGGCUAACUCCGUG